rnacentral:rRNA from 1 species
ACUUAAAUUGAAGAGUUUGAUCAUGGCUCAGAUUGAACGCUGGCGGCAGGCCUAACACAUGCAAGUCGAGCGGCAGCGGGAAAGUAGCUUGCUACUUUUGCCGGCGAGCGGCGGACGGGUGAGUAAUGCCUGGGGAUCUGCCCAGUCGAGGGGGAUAACUACUGGAAACGGUAGCUAAUACCGCAUACGCCCUACGGGGGAAAGCAGGGGACCUUC